GGUGCGCAGGCGGAUUGGUAAGUCAGGGGUGAAAUCCCACAGCUCAACUGUGGAACUGCCUUUGAUACUGUCAGUCUAGAGUAUAGUUGAAGUUGGCGGAAUGUGUCAUGUAGCGGUGAAAUGCUUAGAUAUGACACAGAACACCGAUCGCGAAGGCAGCUAGCUAAGCUAUAACUGACGCUCAUGCACGAAAGCGUGGGGAUCAAACAGGAUUAGAUACCCUGGUAGUCCACGCUGUAAACGAUGAUUACUCGAUGUUGGCGAUACACAGUCAGCGUCUGAGCGAAAGCAAUAAGUAAUCCACCUGGGGAGUACGAUCGCAAGAUUGAAACUCAAAGGAAUUGACGGGGGCCCGCACAAGCGGAGGAGCAUGUGGUUUAAUUCGAUGAUACGCGAGGAACCUUACCUGGGCUCGAACGUAAGAUGACUGUAGGUGAAAGCUUACAUCUCUUCGGAGCAUUUUACGAGGUGCUGCAUGGUUGUCGUCAGCUCGUGCCGUGAGGUGUCGGGUUAAGUCCCAUAACGAGCGCAACCCCUACCUUUAGUUGCCAUCAGGUCAUGCUGGGGACUCUAAAGGAACUGCCUACGCAAGUAGUGAGGAAGGCGGGGAUGACGUCAAAUCAGCACGGCCCUUACGUCCAGGGCUACACACGUGCUACAAUGGCCGAUACAGAGGGCAGCUACCUGGUGACAGGAUGCAAAUCUCCAAAGUCGGUCUCAGUUCGGAUCGGAGUCUGCAACCCGACUCCGUGAAGUUGGAUUCGCUAGUAAUCGCGCAUCAGCCAUGGCGCGGUGAAUACGUUCCCGGGCCUUGUACACACCGCCCGUCAAGCCAUGGAAGCUGGGGGGACCUAAAGUCGAUAACCGCAAGGAGUCGCCUAGGGUAAAACCAGUGACUGGGGCUAAGUCGUAACAAGGUAGCCG
rnacentral:rRNA from 1 species